CUCGUUAAAUCAGUUAUAGUUUAUUUGAUGGUCUCUUUGUUCUUCUUUUUACCUACUUGGAUAACCGUGGUAAUUCUAGAGCUAAUACAUGCGCAAGGUCCCGAGCGCGGAGGGUAGGGCUUCACGGCUCUACUCUUGCAUGCGUAGAGGGAUGUAUUUAUUAGGUUAAACAACCAGCAUUUUUUUCUAUUUCUGGUGAUUCAUAGUAACUCUUUCGGUAUCGCAUUCAUG
rnacentral:rRNA from 1 species